GACGAACGCUGGCGGCGUGCUUAACACAUGCAAGUCGAACGGAAAGGCCCUGCUUUUGUGGGGUGCUCGAGUGGCGAACGGGUGCGUAACACGUGAGUAACCUGCCCUUGACUUUGGGAUAACUUCAGGAAACUGGGGCUAAUACCGGAUAGGAGCUCCUGCUGCAUGGUGGGGGUUGGAACGUUUCGGCGGUUGGGGAUGGACUCGCGGCUUAUCAGCUUGUUGGUGGGGUGGUGGCUUACCAAGGCUUUGACGGGUAGCCGGCCUGGGAGGGUGACCGGCCACAUUGGGACUGAGAGACGGCCCAGACUCCUACGGGAGGCAGCAGUGGGGAAUAUUGCACAAUGGGCGGAAGCCUGAUGCAGCAACGCCGCGUGCGGGAUGACGGCCUUCGGGUUGAAAACCGCUUUCGCCUGUGACGAAGCGUGAGUGACGGUAAUGGGUAAAGAAGCACCGGCUAACUACGUG
rnacentral:rRNA from 1 species